rnacentral:rRNA from 1 species
GUGCCAGCCGCCGCGGUAAUACCGGCAGCCCAAGUGAUGGCCGCUGUUAUUGGGCCUAAAGCGUCCGUAGCUGGCCGCACAAGUCCGUCGGGAAAUCCGCCCGCUCAACGGGCGGCCGUCCGGCGGAACCAUACGGCUUGGGACCAGAGGACCCGAGGGGUACGUCGGGGGUAGGAGUGAAAUCCCGAGAUCCUCGACGGACCGCCGGUGGCGAAAGCGCCUCGGGAAGAUGGAUCCGACGGUCAGGGACGAAAGCUUGGGUCUCGAACCGGAUUAGGAACCCCAGUGUCC